rnacentral:rRNA from 1 species
AUUGAAGGCUCCUUUUUAUGGUUACACAUGCAAGUCGAACGAGCAGCGCGUGCUUCUGCCUGGCGGCGAGUGGCGAACGGGUGAGUUUCUCGUCAGAACAUGCCCACUUGUGGGGGAUAGCUCGGCGAGGGCCGGAUUAAUACCGCAUGAUAUCUACGGAUGAAAGCAGGGGACCUUCGGGCCUUGCGCGAGUGGAGUGGCCGAUGGCAGAUUACGUAGUUGGUGGGGUAAAGGCCUACCAAGCCUGCGAUCUGUAGCUGGUCUGAGAGGACGACCAGCCACACUGGGACUGAGACACGGCCCAGACUCCUACGGGAGGCAGCAGUGGGGAAUUUUGGACAAUGGGGGCAAGCCUGAUACAACAAUGCCGCGUGCAGGACGAAAGCCCUCGGGUUGUAAACUGCUUUUGUACAGAACGAAAAGACCUGGGUUAAUACCCUGGUUUUAUGACGGUACUGUAAGAAUAAACUCCGGCUAACUACAUGCCAGCAGCCGCGGUAAUACGUAGGGAGCGAGCGUUAAUCGGAAUUACUGGGCGUAAAGCGUGCGCAGGCGGCGAUGCAAGACCGAUGUGAAAUCCCCGGGCUCAACCUGGGAACUGCAUUAGUGACUGCAUUGCUGGAGUGCGGCAGAGGGGGAUGGAAUUCCGCGUGUAGCAGUGAAAUGCGUAGAUAUGCGGAGGAACACCGAUGGCGAAGGCAAUCCCCUGGGCCUGCACUGACGCUCAUGCACGAAAGCGUGGGGAGCAAACAGGAUUAGAUACCCUGGUAGUCCACGCCCUAAACGAUGUCAACUGGUUGUUGGGGAUUCAUUUCUUCAGUAACGAAGCUAACGCGUGAAGUUGACCGCCUGGGGAGUACGGCCGCAAGGCUAAAACUCAAAGGAAUUGACGGGGACCCGCACAAGCGGUGGAUGAUGUGGUUUAAUUCGAUGCAACGCGAAAAACCUUACCCACCUUUGACAUGUACGGAACUUGCCAGAGAUGGCUUGGUGCCCGAAAGGGAGCCGUAACACAGGUGCUGCAUGGCUGUCGUCAGCUCGUGUCGUGAGAUGUUGGGUUAAGUCCCGCAACGAGCGCAACCCUUGUCAUUAGUUGCCAUCAUUUGGUUGGGCACUCUAAUGAGACUGCCGGUGAUAAACCGGAGGAAGGUGGGGAUGACGUCAAGUCCUCAUGGCCCUUAUAGGUGGGGCUACACACGUCAUACAAUGGCCGGUACAAAGGGUUGCUAAGCCGCGAGGUGGAGCUAAUCCCACAAAGCCGGUCGUAGUCCGGAUCGCAGUCUGCAACUCGACUGCGUGAAGUCGGAAUCGCUAGUAAUCGUGGAUCAGCAUGUCACGGUGAAUACGUUCCCGGGUCU